rnacentral:rRNA from 1 species
CCUACGGGCGGCUGCAGUGGGGAGUAUUGGACAAUGGGCGAAAGCCUGAUCCAGCCAUGCCGCGUGUGUGAAGAAGGCCUUCGGGUUGUAAAGCACUUUCAGUGGGGAAGAAAGCCUUGGGGCUAAUACCCUCGAGGAAGGACAUCACCCACAGAAGAAGCACCGGCUAACUCCGUGCCAGCAGCCGCGGUAAUACGGAGGGUGCGAGCGUUAAUCGGAAUUACUGGGCGUAAAGCGCGCGUAGGCGGUCUGAUAAGCCGGUUGUGAAAGCCCCGGGCUCAACCUGGGAACGGCAUCCGGAACUGUCAGGCUAGAGUGCAGGAGAGGAAGGUAGAAUUCCCGGUGUAGCGGUGAAAUGCGUAGAGAUCGGGAGGAAUACCAGUGGCGAAGGCGGCCUUCUGGACUGACACUGACGCUGAGGUGCGAAAGCGUGGGUAGCAAACAGGAUUAGAUACCCGAGUAGUC